GAACUUCUAGUGUGUAAAAGUGUGAGACAACACAUUUCUGUUGUUUAAGACACACAAUCUGUGGUACUUUGAUACAGCAGCCCUGACAAACUAAUACAUGGGGUGUCUCAUUGUAGUUUUAAUCAGUAACACCCAUUAUGAACUGAAAACGUCUGCUACUUUUAAGAUCCAACUUGAAUGCUUCCUGAUUAAAUAUAUACAGGAGUGAUUUCAGAGGAAUUUAAGUUUUGGAUCAUUCUUUUGAGAAAGAAAGAAAAGUACCCUUUUAAAAGAGACUUUCUUCUGCCACUGCCACUCCUGAGACAACAUGACCAAUCUCUCCCCUUCCUCCUCCUCAGCGUACUUUCAACAUAAAGACGACGAGGAUAAAGGCAUUUAUGAUGAACUACUUCCACAUAAUGAAUAAUUGAACAAAGGAGAGAAUUGUGAGAGUGAGAAAAAGUGAGACAAAGAAGAAAAACUAUAAAUCAGCAAAAUACAGUGCCAAGAGCUCUGGACCACAAAUCAGAAGACCUGAGCCCUAAUUCCUUUCCAGUCAUUGGAUUUGUUCGUCGCUUGCCAAAAUAGCAGCGAACUCUCUGUCAAACU
rnacentral:lncRNA from 10 species